rnacentral:rRNA from 1 species
AACGAACGCUGGCGGCAUGCCUAACACACGCAAGUCGAACGAGACCUUCGGGUCUAGUGGCGCACGGGUGCGUAACGCGUGGGAACCUGCCCUUAGGUUCGGAAUAACUCCCCGAAAGGGGUGCUAAUACCGGAUAAUGUCUUCGGACCAAAGAUUUAUCGCCUUUGGAUGGGCCCGCGUUGGAUUAGCUAGUUGGUAGGGUAAAAGCCUACCAAGGCGACGAUCCAUAGCUGGUCUGAGAGGAUGAUCAGCCACACUGGGACUGAGACACGGCCCAGACUCCUACGGGAGGCAGCAGUGGGGAAUAUUGGACAAUGGGCGAAAGCCUGAUCCAGCAAUGCCGCGUGAGUGAUGAAGGCCUUAGGGUUGUAAAGCUCUUUACCCGGGAUGAUAAUGACAGUACCGGGAGAAUAAGCUCCGGCUAACUCCGUG